rfam:Salmo salar isolate Sally breed double haploid chromosome ssa14, whole genome shotgun sequence.
UGUAUUACCUACUGUAAGUUGCUCUGGAUAAGAGUGUCUGCUAAAUGACUAAAA